ACAGAGAAAAUGUUCUCUGCGCUGACUUGCUAGCUCCCCUCUAAAGCCCUCUGACCGCGAAGACUAAUUGCCUACCACAGCGCUUGACUUGCAUGAUCACAAAGGGCAGCGGCAAAUCGGGGACGGACAAGAAAAGGUGUACUCACUGAGUGCAUAGGCCCUGACAGGAGGUGGGUGUCCUGACCCAGCAUGUUGGACAUCAUGAGGGCGGGCAGCUCAGGGU
rnacentral:misc_RNA from 1 species